rnacentral:rRNA from 1 species
UACGGAGGGUGCGAGCGUUGUCCGGAAUCAUUGGGCGUAAAGGGCGCGUAGGCGGUCAGCACAAGUCAGUUGUGAAAUCUCCGGGCUUAACUCGGAAAGGUCAACUGAUACUGUGCGACUAGAGUGCAGAAGGGGCAACUGGAAUUCUCGGUGUAGCGGUGAAAUGCGUAGAUAUCGAGAGGAACACCUGCGGCGAAGGCGGGUUGCUGGGCUGACACUGACGCUGAUGCGCGAAAGCCAGGGGAGCGAACGGG